AGCGAACGCUGGCGGCAGGCCUAACACAUGCAAGUCGAACGAACUCUUCGGAGUUAGUGGCGGACGGGUGAGUAACACGUGGGAACGUGCCUUUAGGUUCGGAAUAACUCAGGGAAACUUUUGCUAAUACCGAAUGUGCCCUUCGGGGGAAAGAUUUAUCGCCUUUAGAGCGGCCCGCGUCUGAUUAGCUAGUUGGUGAGGUAAAGGCUCACCAAGGCGACGAUCAGUAGCUGGUCUGAGAGGAUGAUCAGCCACAUUGGGACUGAGACACGGCCCAAACUCCUACGGGAGGCAGCAGUGGGGAAUCUUGCGCAAUGGGCGAAAGCCUGACGCAGCCAUGCCGCGUGAAUGAUGAAGGUCUUAGGAUUGUAAAAUUCUUUCACCGGGGACGAUAAUGACGGUACCCGGAGAAGAAGCCCCGGCUAACUUCGUG
rnacentral:rRNA from 1 species